GCUGGUGGUGGGGGUGGCCACCCUUGCGUUUCUGCGGCUGGUUUGGCCGCGCGGCCGCGCCGUGGCGCCACCGUACAGCCUGCGCGGCGUACGUCCCUUGGCGCCGCGCCGCUCAACUUUUGUCCAACCGUAAGUGGCUGGCGGCCGCGUGAGACGCUCGCUUUCGCGCAUCGCGAUGCGACACGUUGCCAUCGAACGCACUCACCGGACGCUCGUUCCUCGCGACAAUCCGUCACCGCGAGAAAACUACGGAUUUCGAUGAACGAACGAACGAAGAGGAUACACGGUCGCGGACAAUAGUUUCGCCGGGGUGGAAAAGUGCGUGGCUGGAGGGAUGACUGCGAGGGCUGCAGGAGCCGAGCGUUCGAGUUAGUCUCGGCCAGAACACAGGCCCAGUAGGAUCUACGUGCACGCACUGGAGCCGCGUACGGUGCGUGGACUAAGGAAACCGAGGGUUAGGAGAGCCUCCCCACCCCUUCACUGGCCGCGAUCGCGAGUUUCGCAUGCGACGAUUAUUGUGCCACGACCAACGGACCGCUGCGAGUGCACAGUUUCAGGUUAGGAGCCUGCUAGGACGGGUCUCGUACUCUCUUCCUGAAGUCAGCCGUGAGAAGAGACGAGACGAGACGAGACGAGGGCGAGACGAGGGAAAAACCGGAGCCAGUGA
rnacentral:misc_RNA from 1 species